rnacentral:rRNA from 1 species
GACGAACGCUGGCGGCGUGCUUAACACAUGCAAGUCGAGCGGUAAGGCCCUUUCGGGGGUACACGAGCGGCGAACGGGUGAGUAACACGUGGGUGACCUGCCCUCAGCUCUGGGAUAAGCCUGGGAAACCGGGUACUAAUACCGGAUAUGACUCCAUGACGCAUGUUGUGGGGUGGAAAGCCUUGUGCGGCUGAGGAUGGGCCCGCGGCCUAUCAGCUUGUUGGUGGGGUGAUGGCCUACCAAGGCGACGACGGGUAGCCGGCCUGAGAGGGCGACCGGCCACACUGGGACUGAGACACGGCCCAGACUCCUACGGGAGGCAGCAGGUGGGGAAUCUUGCGCAAUGGGCGAAAGCCUGACGCAGCGACGCCGCGUGAGGAUGAC